AGUGAACGCUGGCGGUAGGCCUAACACAUGCAAGUCGAACGGCAGCACAGUAAGAGCUUGCUCUUACGGGUGGCGAGUGGCGGACGGGUGAGGAAUACAUCGGAAUCUACUUUUUCGUGGGGGAUAACGUAGGGAAACUUACGCUAAUACCGCAUACGACCUACGGGUGAAAGCAGGGGAUCUUCGGACCUUGCGCGAUUGAAUGAGCCGAUGUCGGAUUAGCUAGUUGGCGGGGUAAAGGCCCACCAAGGCGACGAUCCGUAGCUGGUCUGAGAGGAUGAUCAGCCACAUUGGAACUGAGACACGGUCAAGACUCCUACGGGAGGCAGCAGUGGGGAAUAUUGGACAAUGGGCGCAAGCCUGAUCCAGCCAUACCGCGUGGGUGAAGAAGGCCUUCGGGUUGUAAAGCCCUUUUGUUGGGAAAGAAAAGCAGCAGGUUAAUACCCCGCUGUUCUGACGGUACCCAAAGAAUAAGCACCGGCUAACUUCGUG
rnacentral:rRNA from 1 species